AGCGGCCCCAGCAGCCUGGGGAGGAAGCUGGGAUCUCCUUGGGGUGGCCCAGGAAAGGGGGUCCCAGCCGCUGCCCCCUUCCCGCAAACAGAAAGCCCGGAGGUGGGAGGGGGACAAUUAAGGGAGGAGCCCCCCUCCCCCAGUGGAGGGUUCUGCGUGUGUGAGAGAUCGCCGAAAUUCCCACCACCCCAGCAGAGGGUCUCUUCUGUCACGCUCAUCCCAGAGACUGGAAUCCUGCCUGGGCUCAAGCCUCCCUGCUCGUGGCUGCGGACAAGUAGCGGGCCAGGGAGAAAGAAGGUCCCAGCCCACCUGAAGAAAUCCUGGACAGUUGGAAUUUAGCCCUGAUGGAGAUCAGAUGAGGUGUCCUCCUUGGAGCUGAUCUGCUAAUAGUUGCAAAGCCAGAAGUGCCGAAUCCUGAAGGCUCAGCUACAUAAGCCAGUAGCCUCCAAAUACCAGAGAGAAAGUAAUACGACCUACCAGCGGAUGGAGAAAGGAAGCAAACAAACUUUGUUAAGCUGCUCCAAGGAGGAGGGGCAAGUUGGCUGAGAACGCAGCUCGAGGGAGCUAGGUGGACUACAAGGGAUGCAAAAGAUACAGAUACCCAGGCAGGGUCUGAGCACAGUGCGUUCAUAUCCGGGGAUUAAAGGCUGAGUUUCUCCUGGACAUGUGACCUUCCUGGUGAGUCCCUAUCAUUAUAUGUAUUGUCUUCUGGCUAUUAGUAGUCAGUCUUAUGACCAGUAAACAUCUGCUGCAUCCUUCAGUGUCUCUUUUAUAGUCUUCUUUUAUCUUGUGCUGUUUUCUCCUAGAAUAUUGUACACCUGCUGAAAUACAUCUGUCAUAUCAUUGUCUGGAAAUAUCUCCUUCAAGUUUUUCUUAGUAAACUUCUAUCCCGGGGUACUUCUACACUGCAUGCUUAUUCAAAAUAAGAUAUUCUGGAAUAG